GAUGAACGCUGGCGGCGUGCCUAAUACAUGCAAGUCGAGCGAACGGACGAGAAGCUUGCUUCUCUGAUGUUAGCGGCGGGCGGGUGAGUAACACGUGGAUAACCUACCUAUAAGACUGGGAUAACUUCGGGAAACCGGAGCUAAUACCGGAUGAUAUUUUGAACCGCAUGGUUCAAAAGUGAAAGACGGUCUUGCUGUCACUUAUAGAUGGAUCCGCGCUGCAUUAGCUAGUUGGUAAGGUAACGGCUUACCAAGGCAACGAUGCAUAGCCGACCUGAGAGGGUGAUCGGCCACACUGGAACUGAGACACGGUCCAGACUCCUACGGGAGGCAGCAGUAGGAAAUCUUCCGCAAUGGGCGAAAGCCUGACGGAGCAACGCCGCGUGAGUGAUGAAGGUCUUCGGAUCGUAAAACUCUGUUAUUAGGGAAGAACAUAUGUGUAAGUAACUGUGCACAUCUUGACGGUACCUAAUCAGAAAGCCACGGCUAACUACGUG
rnacentral:rRNA from 1 species